UACCCUGGUAGUCCACGCCCUAAACGAUGCGAACUGGAUGUUGGGUGCAAUUUGGCACGCAGUAUCGAAGCUAACGCGUUAAGUUCGCCGCCUGGGGAGUACGGUCGCAAGACUGAAACUCAAAGGAAUUGACGGGGGCCCGCACAAGCGGUGGAGUAUGUGGUUUAAUUCGAUGCAACGCGAAGAACCUUACCUGGUCUUGACAUGUCGAGAACUUUCCAGAGAUGGAUUGGUGCCUUCGGGAACUCGAACACAGGUGCUGCAUGGCUGUCGUCAGCUCGUGUCGUGAGAUGUUGGGUUAAGUCCCGCAACGAGCGCAACCCUUGUCCUUAGUUGCCAGCACGUAAUG
rnacentral:rRNA from 1 species